rnacentral:tRNA from 1 species
GGAGGGAUGGCAGAGAGGAUUAUUGCAUCGGUUUUGAAAACCGACAAAAGUUUUUUUACUUUUCCAGGGUUCAAAUCCCUGUCCCUCCG